GAACUCCAAAUAUAACUGCUUGACUUAAUCCUUUGACCAUAAUAAAUGGUGUAUUAAUACAUUGGUGGUUAUUACGAACAAAAGCAUUAGAUAAUUUAUAAUUGAUAAAGAGUCUACUACCAUCUGCUGUAUUUAAGAUUUGAGUUGUCUCAUCAAAAUAUUUUGAAGGUACUAAACCUUCAUUGAUGCAAUUAAGGUCAGCCCCUGAAUCUAUUAAGGCUGAGGUUUGAAAACUAUAAUCUUUUGCUACAAUUAUAAUGACUUGAACAAACCAUUUUUGAAUCAUAAUUUUAUCUAUCAGAUUAACAGAGGGAAUUGUUACCAGAUGAAGUUUGGCUUCUGAAGUUUCUUGUGUUUCUCCUGGUGGAUCAGGGUCAUAUGUAAUAAGCUGAUCGAAUUCUAGUUCAUCUGUAUCUGAUUCUAAUCGAGAUAGAUUUUGUAAUUCUAAAGUCUUGAUUCUAUUUUUUAAUUGAUAUAAUUCUUUUUGUACUUCUUUAAUUUAUUGUUUUAAGUCGGAAAUAGAAGGUUCUUUUUGGUAAGAAGUAUAUUGUUCACUUACUCUUUUCAUAAUAGAAGCAAAGUUGUAUUCAUCAGGUAUUUUACUAAUUGGAGGUGUUUUUGCUUUUGUUUUUGUUAAUGUAAUAAAUUUAGUGAUUACAGAUCUUUUUUCUUCUGGAUCUGUAAUUUUC
rnacentral:lncRNA from 1 species